rnacentral:lncRNA from 1 species
AAAAUCUUAUAAAACACUCUCUCCUCCAAUCUGUUUCUCCGGGCACCGACCCAGAGUCCGGCGAAGGGACCACCGCGUCGGCCACCGGUCACCGGUCACCGGUGAAGGCACCGCCAUAUGCGGUGGCCAAAAAAAAGAAAACCUCGGAUCCGGUCUUUUCAAACCCCCUAAACCCAGAUCUCAGUCCAAAAUCCCCAAAAUAUUAGCAAAAACCCCCCAAAAAAGAAAAAAACAAAGAAACCUUUCGGUUUCCUGCCACCUAUCCUUGGAGGUGACUAAUUCGGCCGUCCUGGCGGCGUUACAGAAUCGAGCAAAGGUAAAUCCCUUCCUCUUUCGUUUUAUUUUAUUUUCACGCAUAAAAAAUAAUAAAAAAUAAAAGUAGUAAAAAAUGAAACAAAACAGGAAAACGGUUAUUAACCUUCGAUCUUUGAUUGAUGUUUUUGCUCUCUUUUGAACUCUCUAUUGUCUUUGUGAAAUACUCAUUUUUUAUUGAUUUUUCGAAUCCCUUUUACAAUAUUUGAAUUUGCUUUUUAUAGCAGAUAAUGAAAAAAAAGGUAUGAAAUCUCUAUUGCAUCUUUACUUGCUGAUUUUCCUCUGAUUUUCUUGUUAUUUUGCCGAUUCUGUCAUGUUGCCUUUCUUGUCGUGCAGGUGAAGGCGUGCGCGCGGAGACUUGGCUCGUGCGAAGGGGCUUGGCUACGGCGCUGAUGUUUACCCUAGAAACCCUAGGGAUUUUUGAAACUCAUUUGGGCCGCGUUGUAAUUGGACCAUUGUUUUUCAAAUGGGUCUGGGGUUUGUAAUUUGGGCCUAUUUUAUUGUAAAUGGACUGUUACAUUUGGACCCUUUUUUAUUAUUUGGUUUUAAUAGACCCGGGGCAAAAUCGGGAUUACAAUUUCAAUGUUUUAA